rnacentral:tRNA from 1 species
GGAAGAGCAAAUCGAAUUGGCGACGAAAACCGCUGGGAAAACGGCUUGAGAGUUCAAAUCUCUCCUCUUCCGCCA